rnacentral:lncRNA from 1 species
AUGACCUCCCUACAGGAGAAACAGCACCAUGUCUCUGUGACCUCCCUACAGGAGAAACAGCACCAUGUCUCUAUGAUCUCCCUACAGGAGAAACAGCACCAUGUCUCUGUGACCUCCCUAAAGGAGAAACAGCACCAUGUCUCUGUGACCUCCCUACAGGAGAAACAGCACCAUGUCUCUGUGACCUCCCUACAGGGGAAACAGCACCAUGUCUCUGUGACCCUACAGGGGAAACAGCACCAUGUCUCUGUGACCUCCCUACAGGAGAAACAGCACCAUGUCUCUAUGACCUCCCUACAGGAGAAACAGCACCAUGUCUCUGUGACCUCCCUACAGGAGAAACAGCACCAUGUCUCUAUGACCUCCCUACAGGAGAAACAGCAACAUGUCUCUGUGACCUCCCUACAGGAGAAACAGCACCAUGUCUCUGUGACCUCCCUACAGGAGAAACAGCACCAUGUCUCUGUGACCUCCCUACAGGAGAAACAGCACCAUGUCUCUGUGACCUCCCUACAGGAGAAACAGCACCAUGUCUCUGUGACCUCCCUACAGGAGAAACAGCACCAUGUCUCUAUGACCUCCCUACAGGAGAAACAGCACCAUGUCUCUGUGACCUCCCUACAGGAGAAACAGCACCAUGUCUCUGUGACCUCCCUACAGGAGAAACAGCACCAUGUCUCUGUGACCUCCCUACAGGAGAAACAGCACCAUGUCUCUGUGAUCUCCCUACAGGAGAAACAGCACCAUGUCUCUGUGACCUCCCUACAGGAGAAACAGCACCAUGUCUCUAUGACCUCCCUACAGGAGAAACAGCACCAUGUCUCUGUGACCUCCCUACAGGAGAAACAGCACCAUGUCUCUGUGACCUCCCUACAGGAGAAACAGCACCAUGUCUCUGUGACCUCCCUACAGUAUCACCAGCCCUGGAAUCAGCAUGGGAGGAGUAAUACGCUGUAUCACUGGACCACAGAGUAUUUAUUUAAUUUGACAGUGUCUGGUUAUGGAAAUACAGUUAAAGCCAUGGAGGAGAAAUGCAGUGGGAGCCAGCUAUGUCCAGCCCCUGUAACAUGGCAGCUGUCCUACAUAAACCUCUGUGAAUGCAGGGGAGCAAGACACACACAUGACACACACACCUGCCAACACACCUGCCAGUGUAAUUCAUGUGGUCAUUUUUCUUACAUGAAAGAGACAGGCUUCUGUCAGAGCGGAGGGAGCCGCUGA